GUAGGGAAUAUUGCACAAUGGGCGAAAGCCUGAUGCAGCGACGCCGCGUGAGUGAUGAAGGACUUCGGUUCGUAAAGCUCUGUUCUCAGGGAAUAAAAAAAUGAAUGUACCUGAGGAGAAAGCACCGGCUAACUUCGUGCCAGCAGCCGCGGUAAUACGAAGGGUGCAAGCGUUGCUCGGAAUCAUUGGGCGUAAAGCGAGCGCGGGUGGUUUUGUAAGUCAGGAGUGAAAGCCCAGGGCUCAACCCUGGAAGUGCUUUUGAUACUGCAAAACUUGAGUGUGGGAGAGGGUGCUAGAAUUCCUGGUGUAGUGGUGAAAUACGUAGAUAUCAGGAGGAACACCGGUGGCGAAGGCGGGCACCUGGCCCAACACUGACACUUAGGCUCGAAAGCGUGGGGAUCAAACAGGAUUAGAUACCCGAGUAGUCC
rnacentral:rRNA from 1 species